rnacentral:rRNA from 1 species
GUGCCAGCAGCCCGGUAAUACGAAGGGUGCGAACGUUGCUCGGAAUCAUUGGGCGUAAAGCGCACGUAGGCGGCUUUGCAAGUCUGACGUGAAAUCCCUCAGCUCAACUGAGGAAGUGCAUCGGAAACUGCAAGGCUUGAGUACUGAAGAGGAUCGCGGAAUUCCCGGUGUAGAGGUGAAAUUCGUAGAUAUCGGGAGGAACACCAGUGGUGAAGGCGGCGAUCUGGGCAGAUACUGACGCUGAGGUGCGAAAGCGUGGGGAGCAAACAGGAUUAGAUACCCCCGUAGUCC